GAAUGUAGUGGAUCAAGGAAGUGGAUUGUGAAUCCACCAUGCACGGGUUCAAUUCCCGUCAUUC
rnacentral:tRNA from 1 species